UACAGAGGUCUCAAGCGUUGUUCGGAUUCAUUGGGCGUAAAGGGUGCGUAGGCGGCGCGGUAAGUCGGGUGUGAAAUCUUGGAGCUUAACUCCGAAACUGCACUUGAUACUGCUCUGCUUGAGGACUGGAGAGGAGACUGGAAUUCACGGUGUAGCAGUGAAAUGCGUAGAUAUCGUGAGGAAGACCAGUGGCGAAGGCGGGUCUCUGGACAGUUCCUGACGCUGAGGCGCGAAGGCCAGGGGAGCAAACGGG
rnacentral:rRNA from 1 species